ACAGGUUUCAAAAUCUUUGCCUAUACCUUCACUCCCUGCACUUCAGUGUUUUCUGAUGGAAAUGUUGCAGGAUUUUCAGUUCUCCAAGCUUACUUCAAUUUAGGUUUUUUUUUUUUCUUUCUUUCUCUCUGGAGCCAUGACUGAAACAUUUCAGCUGGAGAUCCUGAUGACUGUAUCUGGGUUCAGUUGCUGUAUGCUUUAAAUUCUUCAGCUCCUGAGGGUACUAGAAGAGGCACCCAGCCUUUAAGCAGACUGUUUUAGUAGAGAAGCAAGUGCUGCUGUUUUACAUUUUGGUGGUGAACAUUGAAAUGACAGUGUCCAAUCUGUCCACAAAGCAGCCAUAGUCCACAGGACGGAGCAUCAACACUGCAGUAAUGAGGAAGUUUUCAAAGAAGCUGAGGUGAUCUGAAGCUCAAUGAAAAAGCGUUAGUCAUACAUGAAAUGUUUUCUACCUGGAAACUUCAGAAUCAACAGCAGGUUCUCCAAGAGAAGACACUGUACAUGGUAGGAUUUCAGAGGACAGCCUGAGCUCCCAGCCUCUAUAGGGAUCACCAACAUACAAAUCAGGUGGCACUGUGCUGCAGCACAGAGAUGUCCUUCUUGGAGGCUUCUUCAGGAUCUCUGCAAGACUCUCAACAGCCUCAGUCUAUGCCUCAGGCUCUGAACAGCCACUACUGAAGUGUUCAGAAGCCUGACAAGAAGUUGCUCUACUUCUUAUGCCAUAAUGCUGCUUGGACAGAAGUCAACAGAACAUGUGCCAUUAUGCUUCAUUCCACUAAGACCUCCAGAUAUGACUCCACUGUCAUCUAAGAUCUGUUUCUUUGAGUCAUGUAUAAUUUUAUAUUCUGUCAAAAUUGUAAUGUACAAAAUAGCCCCAACCAUAAUUAUCCACGUGACAGUGGGAAGCACCUCCUGGGAAUCAGUAGGCAGACUGCUCCUGGUUUUCCAGGUUUCUCUCUGGUUAUGGAUAACAACAUCACAAAGUGGACCAGAGAGUAUAAACAGAAAAUUAUAGAAUUGUCAGUAGAGGAUUUCUGUGCCCAAGACUUACUUUUUGCAUACUCUGUGUGCUGGAAGUGAAGUACAAAUUUAGAAAUAAGCAGAGUUAAAGAGUUGGUCCAAUUUUCAUGCUUACACGGAGAUGCUACCCAGGAGCUUCUACUGCAAAUGCUUGCUAGUGUAGAGCAGCCUUAAAGUCAGUUCUUACACUACCUGUCAGAAAUGAAGUACUGUUU
ensembl:lncRNA